UACGUAGGUGGCAAGCGUUGUCCGGAUUUAUUGGGCGUAAAGCGCGCGCAGGCGGUGAGGUAAGUCCGUCGUGAAAUCUCCCGGCUCAACUGGGAGGGUGCGGGGGAGACUGCCUGACUGGAGGCACUCAGAGGCCGGUGGAAUUCCCGGUGGAGUGGUGAAAUGCGUAGAGAUCGGGAGGAACACCAGUGGCGAAGGCGGCCGGCUGGGGGUGACCUGACGCUGAGGCGCGAAAGCGUGGGGAGCGAAUGGG
rnacentral:rRNA from 1 species